GCCGAGCUAGCUCAGUUGGUAGAGCAACUGAUUUGUAAUCAGUAGGUCGUUGGUUCGAAUCCGACGCUCGGCA
rnacentral:tRNA from 1 species